UACGUAGGGUGCAAGCGUUAAUCGGAAUUACUGGGCGUAAAGCGUGCGUAGGCGGUUUUGUAAGUCUGAUGUGAAAUCCCCGGGCUCAACCUGGGAAUUGCAUUGGAGACUGCAAGGCUAGAAUCUGGCAGAGGGGGGUAGAAUUCCACGUGUAGCAGUGAAAUGCGUAGAGAUGUGGAGGAACACCGAUGGCGAAGGCAGCCCCCUGGGUCAAGAUUGACGCUCAUGCACGAAAGCGUGGGGAGCAAACAGG
rnacentral:rRNA from 1 species